UACGAAGGGGGCUAGCGUUGUUCGGAAUUACUGGGCGUAAAGGGCGCGUAGGCGGAUGGCACAGUCAGAUGUGAAAUUCCCGGGCUUAACCUGGGGGCUGCAUUUGAUACGUGUUGUCUAGAGUGAGGAAGAGGGUUGUGGAAUUCCCAGUGUAGAGGUGAAAUUCGUAGAUAUUGGGAAGAACACCGGUGGCGAAGGCGGCAACCUGGUCCUUGACUGACGCUGAGGCGCGAAAGCGUGGGGAGCAAACAGG
rnacentral:rRNA from 1 species